GAUGAACGCUGGCGGCGUGCCUAAUACAUGCAAGUCGAGCGAACAGACGAGGAGCUUGCUCCUCUGUCGUUAGCGGCGGACGGGUGAGUAACACGUGGAUAACCUACCUAUAAGACUGGGAUAACUUCGGGAAACCGGAGCUAAUACCGGAUAAUAUAUUGAACCGCAUGGUUCAAUAGUGAAAGACGGUUUUGCUGUCACUUAUAGAUGGAUCCGCGCCGCAUUAGCUAGUUGGUAAGGUAACGGCUUACCAAGGCAACGAUGCGUAGCCGACCUGAGAGGGUGAUCGGCCACACUGGAACUGAGACACGGUCCAGACUCCUACGGGAGGCAGCAGUAGGGAAUCUUCCGCAAUGGGCGAAAGCAUGACGGAGCAACGCCGCGUGAGUGAUGAAGGUCUUCGGAUCGUAAAACUCUGUUAUUAGGGAAGAACAAAUGUGUAAGUAACUAUGCACGUCUUGACGGUACCUAAUCAGAAAGCCACGGCUAACUACGUG
rnacentral:rRNA from 1 species